rnacentral:rRNA from 1 species
GAGUGCUUGCACUCAAUUGGAAAGAGGAGUGGCGGACGGGUGAGUAACACGUGGGUAACCUACCCAUCAGAGGGGGAUAACACUUGGAAACAGGUGCUAAUACCGCAUAACAGUUUAUGCCGCAUGGCAUAAGAGUGAAAGGCGCUUUCGGGUGUCGCUGAUGGAUGGACCCGCGGUGCAUUAGCUAGUUGGUGAGGUAACGGCUCACCAAGGCCACGAUGCAUAGCCGACCUGAGAGGGUGAUCGGCCACACUGGGACUGAGACACGGCCCAGACUCCUACGGGAGACAGCAGUAGGGAAUCUUCGGCAAUGGACGAAAGUCUGACCGAGCAACGCCGCGGGAGUGAAGAAGGUUUUCGGAUCGUAAAACUCUGUUGUUAGAGAAGAACAAGGACGUUAGUAACUGAACGUCCCCUGACGGUAUCUAACCAGAAAGCCACGGCUAACUACGUGCCAGCAGCCGCGGUAAUACGUAGGUGGCAAGCGUUGUCCGGAUUUA